GUUAUUUUGGCAGAAUAGUGCGAUUGAUUUAGAAUCAUUUUAUGUAAUUUAUUUACAGGUAAUA
rnacentral:tRNA from 1 species